GCCGCCGCCGCGCCGUUUCCGUGCUGCUGCUGUUGCUGCUGCUGCUGCUGUAGAUACUCGCCGUGGCCGCCGCCGCCUCCGCCGCCGUCCACGUCCAAGGUAUGCCUGCUGCUCAUGGAGGGAAGAAGUGAGCUUGUAAUCCCUUUGGAGCUAGAGUUACAGAUGGCUAUGAGUUGCCACAGGGAUCCUGGAGAUUUGACCGAGGUACUUUGGAAGAGUAUCCAUUGCUCUCGACUUCUGCCAUCUCUGCCAUCUCUCCAGCCUCUAGUUUCUUUGAUGAUACAAAUAAAUACAUCAGUAAAUUCCUCACUCUAAAAAACCCCAGCUGAACCCCGUUGGAGGGUGGGGUGAUACAGAUCUCUAGAGAGUAUCUCAUCGGCUAUUUCUUGUAGAAACUGUGGAGUUUCAGUCUGUUGGUAUGUAUUGUAAUGUUAAAUUCUGCCUACAGCAGACUUGUCAAGUUUACAAACUUUUGUAGUGCAAACCUUGUUCCUUAAUAUAAUAUUUCACGUUUA
rnacentral:lncRNA from 1 species